AUGUGCAGAUCUGGGAGUUUGAACAAUUCACCAAGAUUCCAGUUUGUGUAUAACAGAAUGGGUGGAAUUUAUCAUGAGAUCCUACCCAAAUCUGAGUACUUCUCCAAGGCACUGUACACCUUCCAUUUUGCCCAAAACGAUCUCACCUUGGGCUACUUCACCAAUAAGACUACCAAACAGAUUGAGGCCUAUGACCCCGAUCCGAAGGAGCGGUUCACUGUGGCAAUGCAGGAAGUUGGUGCCAAGGUGGAGUCCCUGCAGAGGCUGUUCACCCGGAAGGUCGUCUUCUCCAAGACCUCCCUAGCCUUUGAACAGGACCGCUCCAUCAAGCUGAGUUCAUACUGUACCUCAGGACAUGAACUGCAAGUGGUGCUAGGGUUUGAUUGCUGGAUGGAACAACACCAAGAACGUGCGUUAUUACUCCAGCCACAUGGAAGCAAGCAGGCAUGGCGCCGCCCACGUGGCCUGAUUAGUGAUCAACCACACGUAUGA
rnacentral:rRNA from 1 species